AUUGAACGCUGGCGGCAGGCUUAACACAUGCAAGUCGAGCGAGCGGCGGACGGGUGAGAAAUGUCUGGGAAACUGCCUGAUGGAGGGGGAUAACUACUGGCAACGGUAGCUAAUACCGCAUACCAUCAGAUGUGCCCAGAUGGGAUGAGCUAGUAGGGGGGGUAAUGGCUCACCUAGGAGACGAUCCCUAGCUGGUCUGAGAGUAUGACCAGCCACACGGGAGCUGAGACACGGACCAAACUCCGACGGGAGGCAGCAGUGGGGAAUAUUGCACAAUGGGCGGAAGCCUGAUGCAGCCAUGCCGCGUGUGUGAAGAAGGCCUUCGGGUUGUAAAGCACUUUCAUCGAGGAGGCGGUACUCGAAGAAGAAGCACCGGCUAACUCCGUGCCAGCAGCCGCGGUAAUUC
rnacentral:rRNA from 1 species